rnacentral:rRNA from 1 species
GACAGAGGAGGCGAGCGUUAUCCGGAGUUAUUGGGCGUAAAGGGUACGUAGGCGGCUGGUCAAGUCUGGGGUUAAAGACCACAGCUUAACUGAGGGGGGGCCGUGGAAACUGACCGGCUGGAGUGGGGCAGGGGUUGCGGGAAUUCCCGGUGUAGCGGUGAAAUGCGUAGAUAUCGGGAAGAACACCUGAGGCGCAAGCGCGCAACUGGGCCCUACCUGACGCUGAGGUACGAAAGCUAGGGGAGCGAAUGGG